AGUGAACGCUGGCGGUAGGCCUAACACAUGCAAGUCGAACGGCAGCACAGUAAGAGCUUGCUCUUACGGGUGGCGAGUGGCGGACGGGUGAGGAAUACAUCGGAAUCUACUUUUUCGUGGGGGAUAACGUAGGGAAACUUACGCUAAUACCGCAUACGACCUACGGGUGAAAGCAGGGGAUCUUCGGACCUUGCGCGAUUGAAUGAGCCGAUGUCGGAUUAGCUAGUUGGCGGGGUAAAGGCCCACCAAGGCGACGAUCCGUAGCUGGUCUGAGAGGAUGAUCAGCCACAGUGGAACUGAGACACGGUCCAGACUCCUACGGGAGGCAGAAGUGGGGAAUAUAGGAAAAUGGGCGCAAGACUGAUCAAGCCAUACCGCGUGGGUGAAGAAGGCCUUCGGGUUGUAAAGCCCUUUUGUUGGGAAAGAAAAGCAGCAGGUUAAAACCCCGCUGUUCGGACGGUACCCAAAGAAUAAGCACCGGCUAACUUCGU
rnacentral:rRNA from 1 species